rnacentral:rRNA from 1 species
UACGGAGGGGACUAGCGUUGUUCGGAAUUACUGGGCGUAAAGCGCACGUAGGCGGAUUUGUAAGUCAGGGGUGAAAUCCCGGGGCUCAACCUCGGAACUGCCUUCAAUACUGGCUAUCUUGAGUACGGGAGAGGUGUGUGGAACUCCGAGUGUAGAGGUGAAAUUCGUAGAUAUUCGGAAGAACACCAGUGGCGAAGGCGACACACUGGCCCGUUACUGACGCUGAGGCGCGAAAGCGUGGGGAGCAAACAGG